UUUUUGCGACUGACGGAACGCUAUUUUUUAUAGCGGUGGAAUACCACAAGGGAGCAAAAGCUUAUAAAGCCGACCGUCUGGGCAGUCC
rnacentral:ncRNA from 1 species